rnacentral:lncRNA from 1 species
ACCAACCAAGUGAGAGUGAGAAGUAAGAGUAGCCUUGUGAGGAGUGUGAGUGAUCUAGAGUUUGUCUCUAGAAAGUGAGUGAGUGUCAUUGCUUCUAAAAUGUGUCUUUGAGUGUUUUGAGUGUUGUAAUAUUUUAUGAGUGUAAUACAAGUAAUUUGUUUACUUGUUUUGUCUCUCCAACACUUGUGUUAGAGUUGUGUACUCUAAGUUCUUCCCAACAACCCCAUUUUCUGAUCAAACUUCUUCCUCACACGAUCGACCAAAUGUGAUAUGACACGUGGUGCAGAAGUGUAAACGGAGGAGGAAAAAACCCGAACGUCUAAGGAAACAGUUUCGCAGAAGGGGAAAUCCAAACAGUAUAUAUUGAUUGCUAAACCGGAAGGGGAGAAAUAAAAAUGGGGUUUUCUAAAUUUUGUUUGGAGUUUAAUAGAAAGUACUUUUUUUAUUAGUCUAUAUAUCAUAGUACUCUGAAACUUUUCUGCAAAACUUUUGUUUCUUGCGCACAAGUUGAGGCUCGAUCACCUUGACUGCAGCUUUCAUGGCCAUACAGGUAGGUGUACUUUUUGCUCCAAAACUUGAUCUUUUGUUUAAAUUUACAAACUUUGAUCGGUUUUUGGUAAAGGGUUUAGUAAAGAAAGCGUUUUUAUUUGGUUUGUGUGAUGUAGAUUUUGGAGUUCGUCCGAAAUAGGGAAAAAUUUGUGGCGGAAUAAGGAUUGGGACUACAAAGUAGAAGAAAAUGAAAAUUUUCUUGCGCUCUAUGAUUGGUUGCUUUCUGCUGGGUGCAAGUGAUUCACAUAGGGUAAGAAAAUUUGGUAAUUUAAUUUUUUUUUAAUAUUUUGGUAAUCAAUAUUUUGCAUUAAUUUCAACCGUUUCACAUUGUGUGUGGAUUAUCAUCCCUUUCUGAAGUCAACAAGCACAAGGGCAUAAUUGGAAAUUUGUACAAUUAGCCUACAUUUCAUAUUCAGAAGGUUAGUUGGUGAGUUUCGUACUGAGUUUGGACUUUAACCCUAAUGCCUUUUUUUUACUGAUUCAUUUCAUUAAACAAAACAAAAUUCAAUGUGGUUGAUAUUGCAGUGCACUCAUAUUUGUCUUACAAAAUCUAAUUAGUUUUUCUUCCUCAAGGUAACAACCUUCUAUUGACAUUUUUGAUAUAUGAUGUAUGGGUUUAAGGUACAGUCAGAUUGGUUGAAUACACUUUGGCAACCUUAAAUCAAAUUACUUAAUUGCACCAUUAUUAGUGGUAGGAGCCUAGGAGUUAUAUGUGCAUUUACUAUAUACAAAAUCAAAGCAUGCAUUUUCAAUUGAAUCAGGAGAUCAAAGCAUGCAUUUUUACCAAUUUUCUUUGUUCUUUGCAGAUUUGUAAAUAAGGAUUAGGACUACAAAGUGGAAGCUCUGAAAAAUUUCUUUGUUGAAAAGGAUUACAGGUUAUUAAAGUUUCUGAAGGUGUCAUUUGCUUUGAAAUUCAAGCUGCCUCGCCGGUUCAAGCGGGUAUAUAUUGAUGUCUUCAUGUUUCAUGAAUAUUGUGUGCUGUUAAAAGAUAGAGAGCAUCUAGAGAGCUAGGGAAAAUCCCCAAAUCCAAUAUUGAUUUUGCACUCUUUUUAUUUUCUUUGUUCUUUGUAGAUUUGUCAAUAAGGAUUGGGACUACAAAGUGGAAGUUCUGAAAAAUUUCUUGAUCGAAAAGGAUGAUAGAUUAGUGAAGGUGUACUCCAUUAUGAAAUUUCUAUUCAAUGCCCUGCUUAAUUAUUAAUGAAUUCGUUUGUAAAAUUCAUAUGAUGUAUGAUUAUUUGUGUACUAAUUAUUAAAAGAGUACUAUCUUUCUCAAUUUUAUUACUUUUUUUUUUUUUUACAUAUUCUAGAUAAAAUACUUUAAAUUCAUGCCUGUAUUAUUAGAGAUGAUAAUCGCCUUUAUUUUAUGUUUCUAUACAUGGAACCA